GCAAUCGCGCCGCGGAGGUGGUUGAUUGGCAGGCCACAGAGCAAAUGAAGCGACAAAGGAUGAAGCUGAAGAGCCAAUGGAAGAGGGCGGGAGGCGGGGCGUUGCCUAUGCCGAGCCGUGGCGGCCCAGUAGCUGUUAGAGUGGAGUUUUUGUUGUUCUUGGGGGUGAUUGUUUUGGGAGUUGUAUGCGUGGCUGCGAGCUCUCCUGCUGGGCCCCGGGGGCAAUUCAGUGGCCUGGGGAAGGAGGAACUGUGCUCGGAGAGCACCUGCUCCGGCCUCUGCUUGCUCUGGAUCCCGUGUUUGGUUUCCUCGGAGCGGGGCACGUAGGAAGGCGAGGCCGAGCAGCCUGGAGCCUGCUGAGCUGCGGCUGUGCCUCGUGCAGGCGGGCUGAGGGGUGUAUGUACUGCUUACUGACAGAUCACAGGCCUGUGAGACGAGGAAUGCAGCAGACUGGAGUGAAAAUGUGGCAACAGCCUGUAAGCACUGCAGGCAGUAGUGCUUUACUCCAGUGCUGCAUGGUGUGCAGCUGAUAGAAGGGUCGCUGGUAACAGUGACAUAUAAAGUCACAGAGUGUUUGAUCUGUCUGGGGAGGGCAGCUGCUGCUGGGGGCAUGCAGGUAGUAGCACCAUGGGGUUGUUGGGGGAAAGGCGAAUAGGAACUGCUGAGUAAUAUUUGCAAGUCUUAAAAGUAGAUUGUGGUCUCUUUCUUGGCUUCUCAGAUAGUGAUUAACCUACAAAGUAUAUAAAGAAGUAUGGAAAUAGUUCACUUACAGCUUCUGAUUUUGUUUCUACGUAAAAAGUUUGAACAUAACGCGCACUUGGCUGAGGAGAAGUCCAUUAGAUAGCUUGGUCUCUUGGGGAGCCUGAUAGGGGCUAUGAGGAGGAAGGGGACAGACUCUAUCAGGGUCUGUAGUAACAGGACAUGGAGAAAUGAUUUCAAGCUAAAAGAGGGGAGAAUUAGAUUGAACAUAAGACUUUUUUUUUUUUUUUUUUUUUUUUUUUUUUUUUUUUUAAUACAGUAAGUGAGGUGAGGCACUGGAACAAGUUGUCCAGAGAGGUGGUUGAAUGAGCCACCUCCGGAGACAACUCUGCAUCUGGAGACAUCCAGGUGAGACUGGACCAGGCUCUGAGCAUCCUGAUCUAACUGUGGAUGUCCCUGUUCAUUGCAGGGAAGUUGGACUAAAUGACCUUUAAGGGUCUCUUCCAACUCAAAAGAUUCUAUGAUUUUGGUUUAGAAAGCAGAUUUGAAUUAGAAACACUUCUUUGUUCAGGGCACAAAGAGCUGUACUGGUGUAUAACAGUUUUGUGCAGUGAGACCCUACAUUCAAUGUGCAGACCACAAUAAAACAAUAGAUGACCUGCAGCUCAAGACUGAAGCAUUGUACAGUAUUCUUUUGUGGCUUUCUGUUCCUUGGCUUUCCCUUGGAGCUUUACUUUCUAGGAUUCAUCUGAGCCUUCUCUUCUUUAAGAUGAG
rnacentral:lncRNA from 1 species